CGACCCCAGGUCAGGCGGGGCUACC
rnacentral:rRNA from 1 species